rnacentral:rRNA from 1 species
GUAGGUGGCAAGCGUUGUCCGGGAAUUAUUGGGGUGUAAAGCGCGCGCAGGCGGUUCUUUAAGUCUGAUGUGAAAGCCCACGGGCUCAACCGUGGAGGGUCAUUGGAAACUGGAGAACUUGAGUACAGAAGAGGAAAGCGGAAUUCCACGUGUAGCGGUGAAAUGCGUAGAGAUGUGGAGGAACACCAGUGGCGAAGGCGGCUUUCUGGUCUGUAACUGACGCUGAGGCGCGAAAGCGUGGGGAGCAAACAGGAUUAGAUACCCUGGUAGUCCACGCCGUAAACGAUGAGUGCUAAGUGUUAGGGGGUUUCCGCCCCUUAGUGCUGCAGCUAACGCAUUAAGCACUCCGCCUGGGGAGUACGGCCGCAAAGGCUGA